rnacentral:rRNA from 1 species
UACGGAGGGUGCAAGCGUUAUCCGGAUUCACUGGGUUUAAAGGGUGCGUAGGCGGGUAGGUAAGUCAGUGGUGAAAUCUCAGAGCUUAACUCUGAAACUGCCAUUGAUACUAUCUAUCUUGAAUAUUGUGGAGGUUUGCGGAAUAUGUCAUGUAGCGGUGAAAUGCUUAGAUAUGACAUAGAACACCUAUUGCGAAGGCAGCAGGCUACACAUAUAUUGACGCUGAGGCACGAAAGCGUGGGGAGCAAACAGG